GGUGACUCAGUGGUAGAGUGCUUGCCUUGCAUGCAUGAGGUCCUGUGUUCAAUUCCUCAGCACCA
rnacentral:tRNA from 1 species